rnacentral:rRNA from 1 species
UAGUGACGAACGCUGGCGGCGUGCCUAACGCAUGCAAGUCGAGCGGGGAUGGUAGCUGAAGGUGAUGAGCUGGAAGCUGCCAUCUUAGCGGCGGACGGGUGAGUAACACGUGAGCAACCUACCCUCAGCACGGGGAUAACAGCUCGAAAGGGCUGCUAAUACCCGAUGGGACCACGUCAUUGCAUGGUGAUGUGGUGAAAGGGUGGACGUAAGGUCCAUACCGGCUGGGGAUGGGCUCGCGGCCCAUCAGCUAGUUGGUGGGGUAACGGCCUACCAAGGCGACGACGGGUAGCCGGCCUGAGAGGGUGACCGGCCACAGUGGGACUGAGACACGGCCCACACUCCUACGGGAGGCGGCAGCGGGGAAUCUUGCGCAAUGGGCGAAAGCCUGACGCAGCGACGCCGCGUGAGGGAAGGAGCCCUUCGGGGUGUAAACCUCUUUGGACGGGGAGAAGUAGGAGAUAGUACCCGUUUAAAAAGCCACGGCUAACUACGUGCCAGCAGCCGCGGUAAUACGUAGGUGGCGAGCGUUGUCCGGAAUUACUGGGCGUAAAGGGUGCGUAGGCGGCCUGGUAAGUUGAGCGUGAAAUUUUUGGGCUCAACCCAAAAGGAGCGUUCAAGACUGCCAGGCUUGAGUGCGGGAGAGGACGGCGGAAUUCCCGGUGUAGCGGUGGAAUGCGUAGAUAUCGGGAGGAACACCAGUGGCGAAGGCGGCCGUCUGGACCGUAACUGACGCUGAGGCACGAAAGCGUGGGGAGCAAACAGGAUUAGAUACCCUGGUAGUCCACGCUGUAAACAUGUGGAUGCUAGGUGUGGGGGAGAAGAACUCUUCCGUGC